UGGAGCAUAGCCAAGCGGCAAGGCAACGGGCUUUGACCCCGUCAGCGCGAGUUCGACCCUCGCUGCUCCAA
rnacentral:tRNA from 1 species